AACGAACGCUGGCGGCAUGCCUAACACAUGCAAGUCGAACGAGACCUUCGGGUCUAGUGGCGCACGGGUGCGUAACGCGUGGGAACCUGCCCUUAGGUUCGGAAUAACUCAGAGAAAUUUGAGCUAAUACCGGAUGAUGUCUUCGGACCAAAGAUUUUUCGCCUUUAGAUGGGCCCGCGUUGGAUUCGCUAGUUGGUGGGGUAAAGGCCUACCAAGGCGACGAUCCAUAGCUGGUCUGAGAGGAUGAUCAGCCACACUGGGACUGAGACACGGCCCAGACUCCGACGGGAGGCAGCAGUGGGGAAUAUUGGACAAUGGGCGAAAGCCUGAUCCAGCAACGCCGCGUGAGUGAGGAAGGCCUUAGGGUUGUAAAGCUCUUUUACCCGAGAUGAUAAUGACAGUAUCGGGAGAAUAAGCUCCGGCUAACUCCGUG
rnacentral:rRNA from 1 species